rnacentral:rRNA from 1 species
CUCCAGUUGAUCGCAUGGUCUUCUGGGAAAGCUUUCGCGGUAUGGGAUGGGGUCGCGUCCUAUCAGCUUGACGGCGGGGUAACGGCCCACCGUGGCUUCGACGGGUAGCCGGCCUGAGAGGGCGACCGGCCACAUUGGGACUGAGAUACGGCCCAGACUCCUACGGGAGGCAGCAGUGGGGAAUAUUGCACAAUGGGCGCAAGCCUGAUGCAGCGACGCCGCGUGAGGGGUGGAGGCCUUCGGGUUGUAAACCUCUUUUAUCGGGGAGCAAGCGAGAGUGAGUUUACCCGUUGAAUAAGCACCGGCUAACUACGUGCCAGCAGCCGCGGUAAUACGUAGGGUGCAAGCGUUAUCCGGAAUUAUUGGGCGUAAAGGGCUCGUAGGCGGUUCGUCGCGUCCGGUGUGAAAGUCCAUCGCUUAACGGUGGAUCCGCGCCGGGUACGGGCGGG